rnacentral:rRNA from 1 species
CAGUAGCCACGGUAAUACGUAGGGUGCAAGCGUUAAUCGGAAUUACUGGGCGUAAAGCGUGCGCAGGCGGUUAUAUAAGACAGAUGUGAAAUCCCCGGGCUCAACCUGGGAACUGCAUUUGUGACUGUAUAGCUAGAGUACGGCAGAGGGGGAUGGAAUUCCGCGUGUAGCAGUGAAAUGCGUAGAUAUGCGGAGGAACACCGAUGGCGAAGGCAAUCCCCCGGGCCUGUACUGACGCUCAUGCACGAAAGCGUGGGGAGCAAACAGGAUUAGAUACCCCUGUAGUCCCUGUCUCUUAUAC